UUUGCAUAUCCCAAUAGCGGAGGAAAAGAAACCAACAGGGAUUGCCUCAGUAACGGCGAGUGAAGCGGCAACAGCUCAAAUUUGAAAUCUGGCCUCUUCGGGGCCCGAGUUGUAAUUUGUAGAGGAUGUUUCGGGUACCGCCUCGGUUUAAAUUUCUUGGAACAGAAUGUCAUAGAGGGUGAGAAUCCCGUCUUGGACCGGCGGUAGGGCCCAUGUGAAACUCCUUCGACGAGUCGAGUUGUUUGGGAAUGCAGCUCAAAAUGGGUGGUAAAUUUCAUCUAAAGCUAAAUAUUGGCCAGAGACCGAUAGCGCACAAGUAGAGUGAUCGAAAGAUGAAAAGAACUUUGAAAAGAGAGUUAAACAGUAUGUGAAAUUGUUGAAAGGGAAGCGCUUGCAACCAGACUUGAGCGCGGCGGUUCCCCCUUCCUUUUGGUUGGGUUACUCCGCCGUGUCCAGGCCAACAUCGGUUCUGGGGGUCGGUCAAAGGCCCGGGGAAUGUAUCUACUCCUUCGGGGGUAGACUUAUAGCCCCGGGUGUCAUGCGACCACCCGGGACCGAGGAACGCGCUUCGGCUCGGAUGUUGGCGUAAUGGUUGUCAGCGACCCGUCUUGAACACCCGGACCAAA
rnacentral:rRNA from 1 species